ACCCUCCCAUCUCUGCAAGUCACAAUCUCUCCGACACUCGCCCUCAGGAGUCUCGAGGACUGUAUUCCACCCAGGACUUCCCCACACAGGCAGUGCCAAGACUUGGGAACUAUCAAGAAGUGACAAGAACUUCUGCAUCUCGGGGGAUCACUCCAGUCAGUGGUACUAUCAUUGAUCAGAUUGCUAGAGCCAGACACUGGAGUGACGUCUUUGAUCCUUUUCUCUACUUUAAAUUUCCCCUACCAGUGAUGCUCCUUCCAAUCACCCAGUCCCAUGUAUUCUAGUUGAGAGGGAGAGAAUGCGCAUGUACAUGCACACGAGUUGGAGAUGGGCAGAGGGAGAGAGAAUCUCAAGCAGUCCCCAUGCCCAGCUCAGAGUACAACGUGGGACUUCAUCUCACAACCCUGAAAUCAUGACCAGAGCUGAAAUUAAAGUAAGAUGCUUAACCAAC